AUCUCCCACCCUAUGUUAUCAUUACCUGUUGCUUUGGCGGGCCGUCAGGCUCGGUCCAGGCUACCGGCUCCGGCUGGUAAGCGCCCGCCAGAGGACCCUAAAAUUCUGAAUAUCAGUGUCGUCUGAGUACUAUCUAAUAGUUAAAACUUUCAACAACGGAUCUCUUGGUUCUGGCAUCGAUGAAGAACGCAGCGAAAUGCGAUAAGUAAUGUGAAUUGCAGAAUUCAGUGAAUCAUCGAAUCUUUGAACGCACAUUGCGCCCCUCGGUAUUCCGAGGGGCAUGCCUGUUCGAGCGUCAUUACACCCCUCAAGCAUUGCUUGGUAUUGGGCUCCGCCGCUCACCCAGCGGGCCUUAAAAUCAGUGGCGGUGCCGUUGGGCCCUGAGCGUAGUAAAUCUCCUCGCUAUAGGGACCCGGUGGACGCUGGCCAUCAACCUCUAACUCUCUAAGUUUGACCUCGGAUCAGGUAGGGAUACCCGCUGAACUUA
rnacentral:rRNA from 1 species